UUGGAUGAUGGGAUAGGA
rnacentral:misc_RNA from 1 species